UGUUUUAUAUUCAAUAAUGAUUUUUGAUUGCAAAUCAGAAAGUGAGAUUUCUCUAAAACUU
rnacentral:tRNA from 1 species